CAGUAGCCACGGUAAUACGGAGGGUGCAAGCGUUAAUUGGAAUUACUGGGCGUAAAGCGCACGCAGGCGGUCUGACAAGUCAGAUGUGAAAUCCCCGGGCUUAACCUGGGAACUGCAUUUGAAACUGUCAGGCUGGAGUCUUGUAGAGGGGGGUAGAAUUCCAGGUGUAGCGGUGAAAUGCGUAGAGAUCUGGAGGAAUACCGGUGGCGAAGGCGGCCCCCUGGACAAAGACUGACGCUCAGGUGCGAAAGCGUGGGGAGCAAACAGGAUUAGAUACCCCUGUAGUCCCUGUCUCUUAUAC
rnacentral:rRNA from 1 species